ACUGGACUAAUUAUGAUUCCCUACAUAGAGUAUUCCAAUUUGUCUCUUUUUGCCUUUGUACAGGCUGUCCUCGAAGAUGUUCAACUGACGUCUAUUCUCUAGAAUUACUUCCUUCAAAACUCAGCUCCACUGCUACUUCCUGCAUGAAGUCUUUUCUGAUAUAUUCAGGUGUCAGCAUCCUUACCUUCCCUCAGUUAUUCUGCAUAGCACCUGAAGAGGAUAGAAUUAGGUCAAAGGAGAGUCAUUUAAUGAAAAUUAAGGAGGAGCAGGAGUAACAAAAGCUUUCUAGUAUGUGGGUUUUCGCUUGUGGAUUUAACUGUGCCCUUAAACCUUGGACCUCUCUCCCAGGAUCAGGUUCCACCUGAACCACUGCUUAGAAUUGUGGCUGAAUAAAAAGUGAUUCUAAGCAGCCAAAAAUUCAAUAGAUCUUUCUCUGUAAGAUGAAGAAAUUGGGAUAUAAU
rnacentral:lncRNA from 1 species